rnacentral:lncRNA from 1 species
CGGGAUGUCGUAAACCUUGCGUUGGUUCGGGUAGAAGAGGCCGUAGUUCCUCUCUGAAGUGGCGCCGGGCUUCUGGUCUUCAUUGAAAAGAGCGAAUAGAUAUACGUUGAGGGGCUCCUUGGGCCGGAGCGGGGUCCCGCCGCCGGUCAGCACGCGGCGGACGAGGUUACCGUUGUAGGCAGCCGCGUUCUCGGGACCCGCGCCAACCUCGUUUCGUCGCCCUUGGAAGGCCACCCGGUCUCGGAGACGACCAUUCCGACGUCGUCGAAGCCGACGGCGGACAUGGCGGCGAAGACGGCGUCGGUCUGGGCUUCGAUAAGGUCUUGUAGAGGAGGCCGUUGUUGGGGUCCUUGUUGCCGGCGUUAUCACGGAGCAAGGCGUAGUCGAGCGAGAUGGUGUCGGUGUUGGCGAUGUAGGCGAAGAAUGGGUAGGCAUUCACCAUCAGAUAAGAACCGGUUUGUUUGAGAAAGGCGAGCAUCGGUUUGAUGACCGGUUCGACCAGCUCCGGCUUGAAGGCGCCGGCGGAGGAGGGGUAGGACGUGUGGAGCGCGCUGAGAGCGAGGGGCGAGGAGAUUUUGAUGGCGGAGGANAGCUUAGACUCUAAACUUCUAGUACUAUGUUAUUUAACGUUGGUUAUCAGAAGUCAUGAAAUCAAACUGUUGAUCCUGAGGUUUUAGAAUGUUGUUGAUUGAUUAAUAUCACUUGAUUUCUAUCUUUCUUCAUUCAAAGGGCGUUGCUCGACCUUUUUAUCCCAUUAAUUGAAUUUCACAAGGUUCUUCCCUUGUUUAUUUCUAUGAUUUUAGUCGCACAUCGAUUAUAGUUUAUUCCUUCAAGAAUUGUGGUGUGACAAUUCUAAAUCUUACCGUCCAUAAUCUUCCUAAUUUGAAGGCAUAUAACGCAAGCAUGAGAUAGUGUAGGUGAUAAUUGUCAUUUUCACAAUUCAGGAACGGUUAUUAAGAUCUCUUUAAUUAAUAUCAAAAUUCCUUCCAUAUCUAAUACUCCCUCCGUCCCACUAGAAUUGGCACACUUGCUUUUUUUGUUUGUCCCACUAGAAUUGGCACUUUCCUAAAAUAGUAUGUGGUCCCUACUUUCUCUACUCACAUAAAAUAAGUGGACCUUACCUACUUUACACUCUUAACCCUUUAUUCUUAAUCUCCGUGCCAACUCAAAAGUGCCAAUUCUAGUGGGACGGAGCUAAUAAAAUCUUUAAACUCUAUCUCCUAACCUAAACGUGAACAAGCAAUAAUUUUUUUCUAUAGAUUUGUAUAGUGACGUAUUGUAUACACAUAAUCUCAUGAACUAUACAUAAAUAUAUUACGAACUCAUUAAAUAUUCAACUAGUUAUCACAUAAUACAAUAUUCAUUUUUUUGUUUCUUCAAUACCAUAUAAUUCGUAACAAAAGUACUUCCAAUUCGUAACAUUGAAUGAAAAUUUUUCAUGUUACAUGAAACUAUAAUUCGUAACAAAAAGUAAUUCCAAUUCGUAACGAUGGCUGGAAUAUACGAUUCUUAGGGCACGUUUCAGAAAAAAAAAUGUUGUUUUAGAGGAGAAAAAAAUAUUUCUUCGUCUAUUAAUUCAUCUUUCUGAAAAUACCAAAAAAAUAUAAUUCGUAAUAGAUGACAUUAGUAUAAAACAUAUAAUUCGUAAUAGAUGACAAUAAAAUUCGUAAUGCACUAUGUUUAGACAUAUAAUUCGUUACAACUAUACAAAAUAACACUUUGAAAUAUCAUUAGACAUAUAAUUCGUAACAAAAUUAAUGGCCGCAAAUAAGCUAAAAAAAGUAGAGAAAUGAUUGUUAAGAUAUGAAAAAUUAAAAUUGCAUUCACAUAUGGUUUAGAUAUGGAAAAUGAAAUCCCAAAAUUAAUGGCCGCAAAUUAUGGAAUGUCAACUUUAUGCAAUUCCCCUUUGAUGUGUGUAUUUUAGCUACUUAGUUUAGUGCGUGUUUCGCCUUGAUUUCAUGUGAUUUUGCAUAGUUUGCAAUAUUUUGGCGCAGGAAUGAGAAGAAGUGGAGAUGGAGCUGUUGAUAGAAAGAAAUUGGAGAAAGACGAGCUUUCAAUGGAGAUUUGACGUGAAGAUGGAAGAUAGUUAGAGNNNNNNNNNNNNNNNNNNNNNNNNNNNNNNNNNNNNNNAAAAAAAUUGGGGGGGGAGGGGGGUGGGUUGGGUGGAUGAAAUCUUAUGCAUUUUAUAUGAAACUUUAUGCAUUUUAUAUGAAAGUUCAUGCAUUCUCGUAUGAAACUUAUGCAUCUAAAUAUACCUAUUUGAAAAUAUAUACUCCCUCCGUCCCACUUAAGAUGCAACAUUGCUUUUGGGCACAAGAUUUAAGGAGUUAUAUAUUAAGGAGUGAUAAAGUAGGAGAGAAGAAGUAAUAAAGUGAUAAAGUAGGAGAGAGAAUGUAAUAAGAAAAUAUUUAAUUAGUGAUAAAGUAAGAAAGAGAAAACAAAAAAGUGAUAAAGUAGGAGAGAGAAUGUAAUAAGAAAAUAUUUAAUUAGUGUUAAUUUUUGCCAAAUAAAGAACGUAGCAUCUUGGUUGGGACGGCCCAAAAAGGAAAAUGUUGCAUCUUGGGUGGGACGGAGGGAGUAUAUAUUUUUUUAAUUUCGAAAAUUACAUUCCAAUUUUACCCCUCUCUAGAUUUUGCCUUGAAAUGCCUUGCCACGUGUCACCAUCUUGAUGCGCCACAAGUCAUAAUUGUGUCAAUUUGUUGAUUCAUAUAAGCUGAUCUUACAACCAUGUUACAAUGUAAUGAGGCUAAACUUUUUAUAGUAUUUGUGAACAAUUCAAUUAGCGUAUUUACAACAUAUAUUGUCAAUAAUGUAAUUGCAUUUUCUAUUUCAAUAUACUGUUCUGUAUUAAUGUUGUAACAUGUAUUACUUGUUCAAAUAUACACAAGAAUACUUUAUAAAUUUAGACAACUACUUUAUAAUUUUAUAUAUGUAUUAUUUUUUUUUUUCCAAAUAGGUUAAAAUUACAAUUAACUCUAAAUUCUAAGCGGGGUCGGAGCCCACAACCGCCUAGAAGUAAGGACCGACAAGCCUUGAACCGCAAAACACGUCUACCAGUAAGUAUAAACGGAUUAGGCUGAAUAACAUAAAUAGGCACAAGUUUCUUCUAUUCAAAGUUUAUACGAAUGACUAUUGUUUAAACAAGAGCAGAAAAUAUACGAGACAUACUAGGAUUACAAAGAAAACGUUACAAAACAAGAUUGUGAAAUAAUACGAAAGUAGGUAAAUAAUUGUAGAUCGUAAAAGUCAUAUCUACCCAUAACCACCGAUCUGUCAAGUAGUCUCUGUCCCUUUGAAUUUUCGGCUUCCUCUUUUAAAUGAUAGUAACUCAUUUUAUAUGUUGUGUAUAUGUGAUAUUAAUGAGAAACAUAUAAAACGUAUGCAACAUAUAACAUAAACUAAAGAAUACAAUAUAGAAUAUGUACUAAUCUAAAACAAUAACGCCAAUUCUACUGCAUAAUAAAAAAAUGCUACUACUAUCAUUAACAAAUAAAUGAUCAAAUUCCACAACUUGUUCAUACUAUCUCCCAAAAACGUGCAAUUUAGUAACCCGUGGGGAAUUCGCAGCUCCCAAAUUCUGCAAAAAAAGAAAAUCCAACGUUAUAAAAACGCUUAAAGAAAGAAAAUAAAAAAGAAAAAGAAAAACAGUAGACAAUUAUAGGUGCGGCAGUUGAAACGUAGCAAUAACUUACUAGGAGGGUGGGUGACGACGUAGGCGGCGCCACCGAAAUCACAGGCCCCGCUCCGCCGCGAGUUCUUCUGAUAAUAGCUGUUGAAUGCGUAGGACGCGUGCGCCUCCACGGUGUUGGGAUUGUAACACGUGGCCUCGGGCUGGAUCGGACGGCAGUCAGCACCCCCUUCACCACAAGCGUAAUCCAUGGCUUUCUGCAGCUUCUUCUCCCCGGCCUUGUCGUUGGCCACGCACCAUGUCUGCCCCGCGGCCUCCACCUGAGUUUUGCUCUCUGUCAAAUUGGGAGCACCUUUCAGGGCCUCCACCGUCAGCGGGAUGUCGUAAACCUUGCGUUGGUUCGGGUAGAAGAGGCCGUAGUUCCUCUCUGAAGUGGCGCCGGGCUUCUGGUCUUCAUUGAAAAGAGCGAAUAGAUAUACGUUAAGGGGCUCCUUGGGCCGGAGCGGGGUCCCGCCGCCGGUCAGCACGCGGCGGACGAGGUUACCGUUGUAGGCAGCCGCGUUCUCGGGACCCGCGCCAACCUCGUUUUCGUCGCCCUUGGAAGGCCACCCGGUCUCGGAGACCACCAUUCCGACGUCGUCGAAGCCGACGGCGGACAUGGCGGCGAAGACGGCGUCGGUCUGGGCUUCGAAUAAGGUCUUGUAGAGGAGGCCGUUGUUGGGGUCCUUGUUGCCGGCGUU